rnacentral:rRNA from 1 species
GACGAACGCUGGCGGCGUGCCUAAUACAUGCAAGUAGAACGCUGAAGGAGGAGCUUGCUCUUCUGGAUGAGUUGCGAACGGGUGAGUAACGCGUAGGUAACCUGCCUGGUAGCGGGGGAUAACUAUUGGAAACGAUAGCUAAUACCGCAUAAGAGUAGAUGUUGCAUGACAUUUGCUUAAAAGGUGCAAUUGCAUCACUACCAGAUGGACCUGCGUUGUAUUAGCUAGUUGGUGGGGUAACGGCUCACCAAGGCGACGAUACAUAGCCGACCUGAGAGGGGGAUCGGCCACACUGGGACUGAGACACGGCCCAGACUCCUACGGGAGGCAGCAGGAGGGAAUCUUCGGCAAUGGACGGAAGUCUGACCGAGCAACGCCGCGGGAGUGAAGAAGGGUUUCGGAUCGGAAAGAUCUGUUGUAAGGGAAGAACGAGUGUGAGAGUGGAAAGUUCACACUGUGACGGUAUCUGACCAGAAAGGGACGGCUAACUACGUG